UACGGAAGGCAGCAGUGGGGAAUAUUGCACAAUGGGCGCAAGCCUGAUGCAGCCAUGCCGCGUGUAUGAAGAAGGCCUUCGGGUUGUAAAGUACUUUCAGUCGUGAGGAAGGUGUUAAGGUUAAUAACCUUAGCAAUUGACGUUAGCGACAGAAGAAGCACCGGCUAACUCCGUGCCAGCAGCCGCGGUAAUACGGAGGGUGCGAGCGUUAAUCGGAAUUACUGGGCGUAAAGGGCACGCAGGCGGUUAAUUAAGUUGGAUGUGAAAUCCCCGGGCUUAACCUGGGAAUGGCAUUCAAGACUGGUUAGCUAGAGUCUUGUAGAGGGGGUAGAAUUCCAUGUGUAGCGGUGAAAUGCGUAGAGAUGUGGAGGAAUACCGGUGGCGAAGGCGGCCCCUGGGACAAAGGCUGACGCUCAUGUGCGAAAGCGUGGGGAGCAAACAGGGAUUAGAUACC
rnacentral:rRNA from 1 species